GUGACUUGUAAUAGUAAGCUGGGGGAGGAGGAGAAGGGUACUUGUAUGGUGGAGGUGGAGGAGAUGGGUACUUGUAAGGAGGAGGAGGAGAUUUGUACUUGUAAACAGGUGGUGGAGGAGAUGGGUACUUGUAUGGUGGAGGUGGAGGAGAUGGGUACUUGUAAGGAGGAGGAGGAGAUUUGUACUUGUAAACAGGUGGUGGAGGAGAUGGAUACUUGUAUGGAGGGGGUGGAGGAGAAGGGUAUUUGUAGGGAGGUGGUGGUGACUUGUACUUGUAGACUGGAGGUGGUGGUGAUUUGUACUUGUAGACUGGAGGUGGUGGUGACUUGUACUUGUACACUGGUGGUGGGGGUGAUGGAUAUUUGUAAGGCUUCUUAGGAGGUGGUGGUGGUGACUUGUACUUGUAAACCGGAGGUGGUGGUGACUUGUACUUAUAAACUGGUGGUGGUGGAGAAGGGUAUUUGUAAGGCUUCUUAGGAGGUGGUGGAGGAGAUGAGUACUUAUAGGGUGGAGGUGGUGACUUAUUCUUGUAAAUUGGUGGUGGAG
rnacentral:lncRNA from 1 species